AUGAGAUACGAGAGAUAUCAACACCACAUUCGUACAUUAAAACGUUGCUGCUACAAUUGCAACAUGAUUGCGCAUUAGUACCGUACAUAGUAGCCACACUUUCGUCUCUCCGAAGCGCCAUAAUAAUUCUUGCAGAACCAGUCGUGCAGUUGCAUCGUAGAUUUCCACUUCAACGUACAUAAUUACUCGCACGUUUUACAUAAAGAGCUUGGUACUAUCACGUAAUUAGUAUACAUGUAAAAACGAAGAUUUACAUGCAAGUAACGUAAUAGAUUUUGGGUUUCUUUAGAUAACGGAUUCUGAAACUGUGAUCGAGGAAAAUUCUACAUGUUGUAUGCACAGUGCACACUUAGCGUUGAUUAAUUUUGCAUUCAUACAUAGUUUCUCAAAGUUGCGCGUGCGCUGCAACCUUCGAGGUAAAUUACUCAAUUCUCAACGAUUCUACGAGCAUCGAGUAGCACGCAUUCCAUGAACCAAGUGGAGGAAGAAGAAGAAAUUCAGAGGAGAGAACAACAAGUAUCGUGGAAGAUGAGAAUCACUGAUGGCACGGCGCCUGUCUGCGAGUAUGCUGACCGCAGUGCCACUAUCUGCACUGUCAUUAUUCAACGGCUUGUAUAUCCAUUACAGAUUUAUUAAUUUCGCCAAGGCAGGUACACUCGAGACUACCUCGAAGAAGAAAUAAAACGGCGGCAGCGGAGCCCCCGUUAUCCGAACGGUUUAUUGUAUUAGACGUAGAAAUGAGUUCUGUGUCGAACUUAAAUAAUACCAUUUGUUUCUAAACAUAAAUCGUAGAAAUGUUCAUUUUCCCUUGGUCAAAAAUUCCAAAGAAAAUGUAGAAGCAAUCCGUGUGUUUCAUGGCUACGAAGAUUGGUACUACUGUAACGUAACAGAAUUACGAGUAAAUAUGUCUACUUAAACUAGAGUUAUAAAUGUACGAAUGUAAAUACACAGAAUUCAUUGGUACACCUGAUACAUUCCACCUCGCAAGAAAACGCUAGGAACCAACUCCAACUGCGUAAAAGUGUAAACGCGUCACAGUGUUAAUUACCGAAACGAAAUACGAGAUAAUUCGAAAGUUGGAAAGCGACUGAGAGCUGUGUAAAAUUAGCGAGGAUAUACAGGGUGUCCGGUAACUGGUGAUCCAAAUAGGAAUAUGGUUACUCCGUGUAAGAAAAUGAACUAAAAAUGAAGAACAUUUCGUGGUUUUUUCAGAAAAACGACUUUGAAUUUCUUUGAAUGCACAUGUAUCGCAGAGAGAAAGAAUGACUGAUCAUUGAAGAAAUCACGAGUAGGGUUAGAUCAGGACUUUUAAGUUAGGAAGGCUGACCAAAAAUUACUCGAUAUCAAUUUUAUUCUCUUGUGGUAACAUGUUAUUAACUUAAGAUUUCUUCUCUCUGAAAUACUCGUCUGGCUUGAUUCGAUGGAUUUCGCUUGAUUGUGAGAUUUCAAACAGCGAAAUAGCCAACAUUUAGAUCUAUUUUUAAGCUGGUGACACAUCAAGCGUAGAUUAAUAAAAUAACCUGUUUAAGGAAUGGACGUUGUGCCUCUGUUUUACUGCAACGUAUCGAGAAAUCUAUCGAAUGGGAAUGGUGUACUCGAUAAAAAUCUAUCUAAAGUCUCCUACCAACAAAUUUUAUUCUAUACUUUCGGUUCAUUCUUUCGCAUAAAAUAACCAUAUCGCUAUCCCUUAGCUACCAGUUAUGGAACAGCCUACUUACAGAAUCAGAAAAGCCUACAGAAAAAGCUACGAUUACUAAAAUGAUAUAAGGAAUUUCUGUAUUAUGAAUCUUCCCAGAA